rnacentral:tRNA from 1 species
GGGAGCGUAGCUCAACGGUAGAGCAGGGGACUCAUAAUCCCUUGGUUCAGGGUUCGAAUCCCUGCGCUCCCA